UACGUAGGGGGCUAGCGUUGUCCGGAAUCAUUGGGCGUAAAGAGCGUGUAGGCGGCUUGGUAAGUCCGCUGUGAAAGUCCAGGGCUCAACCCUGGAAUGCCAGUGGAUACUGUCAAGCUAGAGUCCGGAAGAGGCGAGUGGAAUUCCUGGUGUAGCGGUGAAAUGCGCAGAUAUUAGGAGGAACACCAAUGGCGAAGGCAGCUCGCUGGGACGGUACUGACGCUGAGACGCGAAAGCGUGGGGAGCAAACAGG
rnacentral:rRNA from 1 species